rnacentral:rRNA from 1 species
AACGAACGCUGGCGGCAGGCUUAACACAUGCAAGUCGAGCGCACCUUCGGGUGAGCGGCGGACGGGUGAGUAACGCGUGGGAACGUACCUUUCUCUACGGAAUAGCCUCGGGGAAACUGAGAGUAACACCGUAUACGCCCUUCGGGGAAAGGAUUAUCGGAGAGAGAUCGGCCCGCGUCUGAUUAGGUAGUUGGUGGGGUAAUGGCCACCAAGCCGACGAUCAGUAGCUGGUUUGAGAGGAUGAUCAGCCACACUGGGACUGAGACACGGCCCAGACUCCUACGGGAGGCAGCAGUGGGGGAAUCUUGGACAAUGGGGGAAACCCUGAUCCAGCCAUGCC